rnacentral:rRNA from 1 species
AUGGUUAAGUGACUAAGCGUAUACGGUGGAUGCCUUGGCAGUUGGAGGCGAUGAAGGACGUACUAACUUGCGAUAAGCCUAGUUGAGCCAGUAAGAGGCGCUUGAGACUAGGAUUUCCGAAUGGGGAAACCCACCUGCUUUGCAGGUAUCAUAUGGUGAAUACAUAGCCAUAUGAGGCGAACGCGGAGAACUGAAACAUCUAAGUACCCGUAGGAAAAGAAAUCAACCGAGAUUCCGAAAGUAGCGGCGAGCGAAAUCGGAACAGCCCUUAAGCUGUUUUGUAAUUAGUGGAAGGCUCUGGAAAGUGCCACGAUACAGGGUGAUAGUCCCGUACACAAAAAUUUAUAAGCAGUGAAAUCGAGUAGGUCGGAGCACGUGAAACUUUGACUGAAUAUAGGUGGACCAUCAUCUAAGGCUAAAUACUCCCAACUGACCGAUAGUGAACCAGUACCGUGAGGGAAAGGCGAAAAGAACCCCUGUGAGGGGAGUGAAAUAGAACCUGAAACCGUAUACGUACAAGCAGUAGGAGCAUACUAGUUAUGUGACUGCGUACCUUUUGUAUAAUGGGUCAGCGACUUAUAUUCUGUAGCGAGGUUAACCGAUUAGGGUAGCCGUAGCGAAAGCGAGUCUUAACUGGGCGCUUAGUUGCAGGGUAUAGACCCGAAACCCGGUGAUCUAGCCAUGGGCAGGUUGAAGGUUGAGUAACAUCAACUGGAGGACCGAACCCACUAACGUUGAAAAGUUAGGGGAUGACCUGUGGCUAGGAGUGAAAGGCUAAUCAAACCGGGAGAUAGCUGGUUCUCCCCGAAAUCUAUUUAGGUAGAGCCUCGGACGAAUACUUACGGGGGUAGAGCACUGUUAAGGCUAGGGGGUCAUCCCGACUUACCAACCCUUUGCAAACUCCGAAUACCGUAAAGUACUAUCCGGGAGACACACGGUGGGUGCUAACGUCCAUCGUGAAGAGGGAAACAACCCAGACCGCCAGCUAAGGUCCCAAAGUAUAUGUUAAGUGGGAAACGAUGUGGGAAGGCUAAAACAGCUAGGAGGUUGGCUUAGAAGCAGCCACCCUUUAAAGAAAGCGUAAUAGCUCAC